rnacentral:pre_miRNA from 1 species
AGUCAGAUAGCUGUGUCAUAUGGUGGUUCCAUUCCAAGUUUCUGAGGAAUCUUCACACUGUUUUCCAAAGUGGUUGUACCAAUUUGCAGUCCCACCAGCAGU